rnacentral:rRNA from 1 species
GGACCAAGCGUAACUUUUAUUUACAUCCAAAUCGCCCGGGAACUACGAGCUAAGCUUAAAACCCAAAGGACUUGACGGUACCCCAUAUCCCCCUAGAGGAGCCUGUCCUAUAAUCGAUAAUCCACGUUUAACCUCACCGCUUCUAGUUAAUCAGCCUGUAUACCUCCGUCGUCAGCUUACCACGUGAGCGUAAAUUAGUGAGCCCAAUGUUAUUUCACCAACACGUCAGGUCAAGGUGCAGCAAAUGAAGUGGGAAGAGAUGGGCUACACUUUCUAUUUUAGAAGAAACGAAAAACUACUUAUGAAACCUAGUUAGAAGGCGGAUUUAGCAGUAAAAAGAAAUCAGCAUGUUCAUUUUAACCCGGCACUGGGGUGUGUACACACCGCCCGUCACCCUCCUGCAGUCAA